GAUGAAGAACGUAGCGAAAUGCGAUACUUGGUGUGAAUUGCAGAAUCCCGUGAACCAUCGAGUCUUUGAACGCAAGUUGCGCCCGAAGCCAUUAGGCCGAGGGCACGCCUGCCUGGGUGUCACACGUCGUUGCCCCCCCAUCUACUCCUUCGGGAUUGCGGGGGGCGGAUGAUGGCCUCCCGUGCGCCUCGUCGCGCGGUUGGCAUAAAUGCCAAGUCCUCGGCGACGCACGCCACGACAAUCGGUGGUUGCGAAACCUCGGUUGCCCGUCGUGUGCGGUCGUCGCGCAUCGAGGGCUCGAAAAAAUUGCCGGGCUCCGGCUCGACUUUCAACGCGACCCCAGGUCAGGCGGGGUUACCCGCUGAGUUUAAGCAUAUCAAUAAGCGGAGGA
rnacentral:misc_RNA from 1 species